rnacentral:rRNA from 1 species
AACGAACGCUGGCGGCGCGCCUAAUACAUGCAAGUCGAGCGAGAAGACGUAGCAAUACGUUUGUAAAGCGGCGAACGGGUGAGGAAUACAUGGGUAACCUACCCUCGAGUGGGGAAUAACUAGCCGAAAGGUUAGCUAAUACCGCGUACGCUCCUUGGACUUCGGUUCAGGGAGGAAAGCGAUACCGUGGGUAUCGCGCUCUUGGAUGGGCUCAUGUCCUAUCAGCUUGUUGGUGAGGUAACGGCUCACCAAGGCUUCGACGGGUAGCUGGUCUGAGAGGACAAUCAGCCACACUGGCACUGCGACACGGGCCAGACUCCUACGGGAGGCAGCAGUAAGGAAUAUUGCGCAAUGGGCGAAAGCCUGACGCAGCGACGCCGCGUGGGGGAUGAAGGUCUUCGGAUUGU